CGGCGGACGGCUGAGUAACACGUAGGAACGUACCCCAAAGUGAGGGAUAAGCACCAGAAAUGGUGUCUAAUACCGCAUGUGCUCUAAGGAGUAAAGCUCCGGCGCUUUGGGAACGGCCUGCGCAUGAUUAGUUUGUUGGUGGGGUAAAGGCCUACCAAGACUACGAUCAUUAGCUGGUCUGAGAGGAUGAUCAGCCAGACUGGGACUGAGAACGGCCCAG
rnacentral:rRNA from 1 species